rnacentral:rRNA from 1 species
CGAGCGGAUAGCCCUUCGGGGGACACGAGCGGCGAACGGUCGAGUAACACGUGAGCAACCUGCCCUUAGCUUCGGGAUAGCUCCGGGAAACCGGAAUUCAUACCGGAUAUGACCACGGCCGACAUCGGCCAUGGUGGAAAGUUUUUCGGCUAGGGAUGGACUCGCGGCCUAUCAGCUAGUUGGUGAGGUAACGGCCCACCAAGGCGACGACGGGUAGCCGGCCUGAGAGGGCGACCGGCCACACUGGGACUGAGACACGGCCCAGACUCCUACGGGAGGCAGCAGUGGG